AUUACAGAAAUGUCCAUGCUUUUCCACUUAAACAGUCCUCUUUAGAUUUCUGUUAAUUAAUUAAUAAUUCUAUUUCUUGUUACAAAUUCAGACAUUCAUUACAAAGAAUAUCCCCAGGCAUUUAAUAUUACAUGGACAUUUACUGUUAAAGCAGAACAAAAACGCUUUCUCUAUAUAUUUAAUCAAGUUUAUCUAGUGCAGGCCCCCCUUGGGGGCAUGAGAUGGUGCCAGGGGGCCCCAGUUUUAUGACACUUAAAUUGAUCAUAAAUUCUGUGUAAUAAAAAAACUCUAAAAAUAUAGUUACCAACCAACAGCACUACAUUGUAUAAAAUAAUAUGUUGUGUUUAAGUCAAAUUCUAAGUUUGAGUUUGUUUUAUGUCAUCAAUCUUCUUUGGGGGAGCCGUGAAGGGGUGCAACCUACACACCAAAAAGUUUGAAAACCACUGAUCUAGUGGUACAAUAUGAAACAUGGGAUUUCUGAAGAACUUCCACACAAUUCACAGAAAGACGUUUACUACUGGAUAUGAAUCUGAUAAAUUUAUAAGAAGAGGUCAGAUGAGAAAAACAGAGCCGACGUAGACACCGAGCAUGAGGACAAAGUAUUAACAAGCCAGACGCUGUGAGCGGCAAUGGCAGGACUGUGUGAUGAAGGAGAAGCUGGAGGAUUAUAGCCUGUUGUAUCGUCUGCUGUUUUUUUGGCACUUGCUCAGACGGUGAGAUUCUCGGAGACAGUUAAACUGAUCCUUUGUGUCUGAAGACCUGAGAGCCUGCUGACGUGAAGCUAGCAAAGAAAACACAGGGUGAUAAUCAAAAACACAGGGACACACACAGGACUCAAUUCUCAAUGCUGUUUUUAUAAUACAGUACAAAGUGUUUGACAUGUUUAAUGUGGAGAAAGAGAGGUUUUGCAAAGAUUGUAAACUCAUGAUUAUCAACAGGAUGAAGCAGUACAGGUAAUUGUUGAGAUGAGUACAGCGUAGGACUUCCGCUGAGACCACUAGGUUGAGGACGGACAGACUAAGAUAUGAGACUUAACAUUCACUUUGCAUAUUUCAGAGUUUUGUAGCCUGAGAAGAAUUUCAAAGCCUUGUUUUUUUACCGCAUAUGCAUGUACUGUAUGUCAGAAACAGAGAGAUGAUGUAAAAUUUAAUUAAAACACGACAUUUAGUCGAAUGAAAAGACUUCAGUGCACCUUGGUGUUAAAGGCAAAACUACAGACUGUGUUCGAAUGGAAUGUAAGACUCUUAGUAAACAGUCUAGUAAAGAUGGUGACAGACUGACAUAACUUAAUUACAAACCAACACCUUAAAGAGCACAAAUAAGACUAAAAAACAGUUAAGACAAAAAUGCACAUGUACUUUAUGUACUGUAGUGAUGUAUUGAAGCUAUUUAAAAAAAUGAAUUUACCUUAAAAUAAAAAUUCUGUCAUUUACUUACGUCAUUUAAGAGAAACAAAUACAUUUGCUGUAGCUGCUUUUUCAAUAAUAAUAAAAAAAGAAAAUGGAGAUGAGCUCUGCAAAUGACAACAAAAGUUUGAUAAUAGUUGUGUACAAAAGUCAAAGCCU